UUUGUUUACAAGGAAGCAGAGCGACCGUUAGACUAGCUAGCUGCCGAUUUAGCCCAAGAAUAAGUUACGUAUUCCACAUGUCAGUUUAGCGGAUUUUAAUCCAGUAGCGAUGAGGUCGUUGAACUUUGUUCACCGGAUCAGUUUGGACUUUACAGGAACUAUGUUUCCUCACGCCAUCUGUCUGGGAGACGCAGACAACGACUCGCUGAAUGAACUAAUUGUUGGAGACACAAGUGGAAAGCUGCUCGUUUACAAGAAUGAUGACUCUAAGCCCUGGAUCACAAGAACCUGUGUGGGAAUGCUGACCUGCGUCGCAGCCGGAGACGUCUGCAACAAGGGAAAGAAUCUCGUCGUCGCUGUGGGAGCAGAAGGAUGGUUCCACCUCUUCGACCUGACGGCGGCCAGCGCCAGCAAAUCCGACUCCUCCAGCCAGCAUGAGCUCCUGUGUCCUGACGACCAGAGACCCUUCUUCACCCAGCACAUCCCGGCCAACACCAAAGUCAUCCUCAUCAGUGACAUCGACGGAGAUGGGCGAUGUGAGUUGGUGGUGGGAUACACAGACCGGGUGGUCCGAGCUUUCCGCUGGGAGGAACCGUCCGACAGUUCGGAUGGGGGAUCCGGUCAGCUGGUUCUCCUGAAGAAGUGGCUACUGGAGGGACAGGUGGACAGCCUGUCCGUCAACCCGGGUCCCGAGGGUUUGCCGGAGCUCAUGGUGUCCCAGCCGGGCUGCGGUUACGCCAUCCUGCUCUGCACCUGGACACAGCAGGACUCCACCGAGUCUGAGGACGACGCCCCUGCCACACCGGGCAGUGACGGGCCGUCCAGAGAUGUAGUUCUCCACCUGACCAGCGGGCGGAUUCACAACAAAAACGUUUCUACUCACCUCAUCGGCAGCAUAAGCAAAGGUUCAAAAGAGGAAUCCUCAAAAUGUGGACUGUUUGCACUUUGCACUUUAGAUGGAACCCUGAAGCUGAUGGACAGCUCAGAGCAGCUCUUGUGGUCGGUUCAGGUCGAUCAUCAGCUCUUCGCUCUGCAGAAACUCGAUGUCACUGGAGAUGGCAGAGAGGAGGUGGUGGCCUGCGCCUGGGACGGUCAGACCUACAUUAUUGACCACAACAGGACUGUGGUGCGCUUCCAGUUUGACGAAAACGUCAACGCCUUCUGUGCAGGUCAGUACACAUGCAAGGAGGGUAAAAACAGCCCCUGUCUGGUGUACGUCAGUUUCAACCAGAAAAUCUACAUCUACUGGAAGGUGGAGCUUGAGCGGAUGGAGUCCAGCAACCUGCAGCGAGUGCUUGAGGAGAAGCCUGAGUUUAAAAGCCAGCUGGAGGCUCUAGGAGUUGGAUGAUGGCUAACAUGGAGAUGUGGCUUUAACUGAGGAAAGAAACCCAAAGCUGUCAGCAGCUACAACCAAGGCAAGAGUUUACACAGCAUAAAGCUUCUCAGCAUUGCGUAAGAUUAUUGAUGAUUUCUGAACAUCUUAAGGUUGUACGCUGCCCCAGGUCUGAACCGGAAGUGAUCGGCGCCAUCUUGGAACCAACCUGCAGUUGCAGAGGAAAUCCUAAACAUCCUCUCCAAAUGUGAGCUUCGUUUGGAGGUUCCUCUGGUCCCGGUGGGCCGCUGGUCAUAGCGUGUUGGGGAGGUAAAGCGAACACAGCAGCAUGUUCU